rnacentral:rRNA from 1 species
CCCUUAGAUGUCCUGGGCCGCACGCGCGCUACACUGGCAUGUUCAACAAGCCUCCUAGUUCGACAGGAUUUGGGAAAUCUUUGAACGCAUGUCGUGAUAGGGAUAGAUCAUUGCAAUUAUUGAUCUUGAACGAGGAAUUCCUAGUAAACGCGAGUCAUCAGCUCGCAUUGAUUACGUCCCUGCCCUUUGUACACACCGCCCGUCGCACCUACCGAUUGAAUGUUUCGGUGAAGAUUCCGGAUAGGACUUUUUUGAUUUAUUUCAAUUUUGUCUUAAAAGCUAUCUAAACCUCAACAUUUAGAGGAAGGUGAAGUCGUAACA